UCCGAAGACUGGUAUCCUUUUUUCUGUGUUUCAUUCCCGACACCCACACCACACUUGCUAAGCCUGCCCCUACUUAGGAAAGUCUUAUUUCCUUUUCCGCUAUUCUUCAAUGCCUUAUUCAGGUUACUACUUUGUUUAAUGAUUCUUUUAACCGAUAGUAGGAAUAUGUUUUUCUAUAAUAAUGGAUUCUAUUUGAGUAGUGUUUUCUUAAGGGAAUUAGGCUAAAAAACAGCCAGUGCUUUUGCAUUUACCUUUAUCGCAGUUGGUGCUGGUGUUAAGUAAUUGGUUUCUUCUAAGUAUGAGUUAAGUAACAUCCCCAUUCUAAGUAUACUGAUUUUGAUUCUUAGUAGGAAACCUUCUUAUAAGUAUAAGUUAAGUCACUUCGUUCGUAUCCAAAUGAGGGCUCCUCGGGCUAGAGAUAUAGUUUGCAGUGUGUGUUGUCGAUUCAAGAGAGAGAUCGGGCCUAAGAUCAGUGGUAGUGUUAAAGAUAGAGGUUCGGUUGGGCAAAUCAUAAUUCAAUUAUCUUGUAGUAUAACCUAUGUGUGGAGCAUAGAAAUGUAUAGGGAAAGAUCUAGUUUUUCUAUGAGAAAUCAGAAUAAAAGAAAGAAGGAAGAAUACUAAUGAGAAUAUAGCUCCCUAUGACUAAAAUGAGAAUAUAGCUCCCUAGACUAAUGAGAAUAUAGCUCCCUAUGACUAAGAAUGAGUAGGUGCAUCAGGGAAUCCUAACUCUAACAUAGGAAUCAUAAUAAGGGAACUACAUAAUUGUCCUGAUAAGUAACAGGAUGGGUAGUCCCGGGCCCAGGGAACAAUCGAACUCAGUAGCACAGACAAGUCACUCAAGGACUUAAACUCAAAAGAGAGAAUCGAAAAGCACCCUAACCUGGACUCCCGGUCUGAAGACUAGAACCAUUAACUUCAGGGCUGAACUACAACCCAACCCAGCUGUCAACUAAUACUACUAAUACUGAUGAAACAAAGUACCUUCUUCUAACUCUCCUCUGGCUCACAAACACAUAUAAAGUAGGAUUCUUAAAACACAGAGCCAGUGGGCAAGCUGACAACUAGCUACUCUCAACUACUGGACUGGCACCCGACCCGGCCUAUCUUUCUGAUCCUGGCUCAGAUCCAGCUACUGUUAGAGUUAGAGUGGAAGUAGGCAAGUAGUCAAGGUAUCAAUUCACUGAUAUCAAGUAGGCAAUUCCGGGUAUUAAUUCUCCGCUGUCUAUAAGAUCUAGUAGUAAGCAUCUAGUACGCAUUCCCACUCCGAUGAUAAGAGCUAGUCAACUGGUUCUCUUUCUUCCCUUGCAUACUAGGGCACUCAAGAUCAAAUGAAUUCUUUCUUGACUUACUUGUUAGGCUAGGCUAACCGAAUCAAAGAAUAGCUCUCAUACUGGGGGAGUUAUCCACCACACCAGCUCUGGAGGGCAAAGUCACUACUAUACAAGUCACUACUACUAAAACCAGGUCCUAAUUACUAGCGUCAGUGAACCCGUUGCGCGCCCUUAUUGUAAGUUUCAGAAGGAAGUUCUGUAGUCAAAGACCUCUCCUCUGCAUGUGCCCUCUUAAAGCAAUAAAUCAAUCAAUUUUCAGCGAAUUCCUAGGUCAUUUGCCAUAACACUUCAGAAGUUAUGAAAUAGUGCAUUUUACACACAUAUCUUGACGGUUCCCUAUGGUUCCUUACUUGUCUUGACGGUUCCCUUUUUUAUGGUUCCUUACUUGAAGAUCUUUUCUCUCUGAUAACUUCUAUAGGGCAAAAGCUAGACUUGGCGGCCGUAAUCACUAGGGGUUUGAGUUCCUGUUGCGCGAGUCUAAGAGUAGCUGGUUAGGUUAGUUAAGAGCACUGAACGAAGUGUUACCUCAUUCUAUCGGAUCUCACUCAUUCCUCUGUUUCUUGACUUGGUGUUAGAGAUGAAAAAGCCGCUUCUGAUCUUGCAAGUCUCUUUCUCUACUCUUUGAGUCUAGUGGUUACUUGUCAGGCUAAGGUUAACUUGGCUCGGAAAUGAAAGUUUCCAACCCAAAAGGAAGCUGUUAAAGCAGAUCCACCUAUUCCCGCUGACUACUAGAGUAUAAGACCAUUAGUGGGGAUAUCCAGAGUGGAAUACCAGUAUUUGUUUCAUAGUAUCCAUCCGGGGUAGUAGGAAUUAGAGGGUGAAGAAGAAGAUGUCACUAAGUAAGGCAAUAAAGUGAUACGCGAAAGUGAGGAUAGGUGUGACUCAAAUCUGGAGUGCGAGUUAACGGUUGGCGAGAGGGAGUUUCAAGCUUACUUAUCUUCUACUAUAUGCGCUAGCAAUUAUUUAUGUAUUAUGGCCCUAAGGUUUCUUAGUCAUUUAAGGAAUGCGCUAGCUGAACACAGGACAAAGAGAGAUCUUCCGAACACAAAACCAGGAGCCCCACCGUUCUUGUUGUUAGCAAAGGAUCUGAACCAGUUUGGUAUGCCAGCGGAGUGAAAAGAGCAUAAGUGAAAGUAGAGUAGAGGCGAGGAAGCUAUAAGUACUGAGUUUAGCCUAGUAGUGGGCAUCGGGUAAGCCUUAAUAAGUCGGGGCUUACUAGUAAAGGGAUGGAACUAGGAAUUCUACUAGUAAGUAGAAGGCGAGGAAGCUGUUUCUCUAGGGUGUAGUAGUCCUGCUCGAGUGAUUGUUGAACCCUAGUUUCGUCUUCAAGGGCAGUUAAGUAAGGAAAGGAAGCAGUAAGAGCCGAGCCGAGCCUAGUCACUUCAUGAAACCAGCAUACCCGCCCCGUUUGCUGCCUCGGACUGCCGCUCGAGCACAGGUUAACUCUGGAUUGGUUAGUAAUGACUAGCCGGGUGCCUAUAGUCGUUUUCGUUCUUAUUUCGUGUUUCGGAGUAUCCUUUAGUUCGAGAGUCAAGUCUAGUUCUGAGUGCGAGUAAAGUCUAGUUCUGGUUCUUGCAAAGCCCUAAAUAAUAAGUUGUGAAAGUCAAACACCCGGGGGCGAAUAGCUUCCAAUGAAACUUUAGACCCUUUGUGCUUUCUUCGACCAUAAAGAUUAUAGGCAGAAAUGCAUUCGUUGGCAAGUUUCUUAGUGGAAAUGCAGGAUUUAUCAUCCAACUCAUACUACCCCGUAAGAAUAGGGUUCAAAAUGCACUAUAACAGUUUCACUCCCCUACCGCCCUGAAAUUAUGACUUGUUAAUGACACCGGGCUAACGCCGAUGAGGAAAGGACUUGGUUAUAACUCAUUAUAGUGUGUCUAUUUGGUUGCUACCGCUGAGCACAGGACUUCCUCGCUCUUAGGGAUGGUGCCUAGACUAUUGAGAACCUGUCCGGGGUAGAGCAACUGUCUUACAUCGGUUGGUUAGCUAGCCUCACUUCUUGUUGAGGUCGGGUGUCCAAACACAGGUUCACUCAGGAAAGGAUCUGAACCAGUGCUGUGUGGUAUGCCAGGUAGAGUUGACCGGGAAGUCGGAUAAGAAUAAGAGGGAUCGGGCCCAGACCCAGACUCAGUGGUUAAAGGAUAAGUGGUGGAAUUCUUUGUUGACUUGGAGUUCCGUGGAGUUAUGGGCUUUCCCUUCCUUUGCUUAAAGAGUAAUAGAGUUCGGUUGCUAAGCCUAAGCCUACGAGAUCCGGGGCUGGAUCAGAAACAGCAAUUCCAGUUGAGGUCGGGUGGGCAAGGGGACAAGCAACUACGACAAAAAAGAAAGGCACGGCUGUCUGUCUAUAUCCUAUGAGAAAAGCACUUUAUUGAACUGUCUUAAUCACACUCACUGUCUUAUCUAAGAUCUCUCUAUGAUACUAUGAGAAAAGCACUUUAUUGAACUGUCUUAAUCACACUCACUAUCUUCUCCUUAAUCACACUCACUAUCUUCUCUAAGAUCUAUUAGCUUUCUGUCUUGUCUAUUCCUAAGCUUGUUCGUUAGCUCCUUAGGAAUGAAUGAAAGUAGAAGUAAGGCCUUUUUCAGGUAGGGAGAAGAAAUAAGGACAGGGAAGAAAUGACCCUUAUUAAGGGAGUGGACACUAGACAGGGGCUUCUAUUGCUUAUUCAUAGUCAACUUGGGCUACAUUUCUAUUGCUUAUUCAUAGUCAACUUGGGCUACAUAUCAAUUAAGCUGAGACUGCAACAAGGGCUGGGCUGGUAGAACCAUUGGUAGGAAGCAAAAUCCAAAUACGGAUUCUACUGGUUCGAUAGAUCCAAGGACCCCCAAGGAUAAGUCAGUUUCCUCAAACUCAGGUUCAUAUAUCGGGCGGGGGCAAAUCAAAAAUCCCCUCAUGCAUAACAGCGGGUGCCUUUUCUUGAGAAACCAUAUCUCAUAUCUAGAGCCAAAGGUAGAGAGAGCAGACUACCUUGUGAAUAACCCUACUUGAAUUGACUCUUUGUUACUUUAUAAUAGACUGGUUUUUUUCCCUUUAUUGAUGGAUCCCCACUUGUUAAGAAAUAGCUUUCAAGGCUUUCAAAGUUACUUGCUUAACUCAUCUAAUGAUUUGGAUUAUGGAUGAUUUGGUUUUCCCUUGCAGCAAUUGGGUAGCUGGGAAGACUUCAUAGAUAGGUGGAAAAGAGGGCAGGCUAGCUUUUAGAUAGGCUAGAGAAGAAAGAGGGCAGGCUAGCUUUUAGAUAGGCUAGAAAAGAGGGCUAGCUUUCUUCGGCGAUUAACGAAUUCGAAUUUCCAAAAGUGCUUGCUUAAUCAAAAGAUAGAAAGCAAAUAGGAUAAUUGUCACUGGCCCCAGUAUUGCUCACAGUAAAAAGAAAGAGACAGGUGUACUCACCGAUGGGCUUUCCUCAUCUUUAUCCCGGGGAAACAUAAUCCUUAGCCAGAGGGGGGAGAGAAUCCGUAGUUUCAACAGAAGCAAGCAAGAUAUUGAGUAGGAACAAGAUCUACAGCCGGGGAAGAAUAAUUGACCUAUAAACAAAACAGUCAUUUCCGUACUAAACUUCCCUAAUAAUAGAAUUCAUCCUAUAAUAAUCUAUAAUAAUAAUAGAAUUCAUCCUAUAAUAAUCUAAUAAUAAUAUAGUAGGGUAGCAGCGAUAUACUUGACUUCGAGCAGUAGGGAAGGGAACAACCAUCAAGAAGGAACCAUCAAGCGCAUUGUAUCCAAGAUAAGUUAGUGGCUCUAAGCCGGUAUAUACAGAUGCUUCUUCAGUAAGGUGUCGUGGACUAUCAGAUUCAAAAGAAAGGGAAGCUCCUAGGUCACAUUCCUCUAUACGCUCGAGAGGAGAUUCAAAUACAUGAUGAACUUCAAGUCAAGGGGUGCGGGGGUAGUUUGUAUUUCCUUAUUCUAGGUUCAAGUCUUAUCGCGUAGUAGUGAAUUCUUUACCUUUUUAUUCAUCCUUUGUCUACUUAGUUUGAUUCCGACUACUAAGUUUCAUCCUGUGUUAAUAGCUGUUCUGUUCUCCUGGCCAGGUAUCCUGACUUGCUAGUUCAAUUCAAAAGACAAGCGAUGAACAAGUCACUCCCGUCUGCUUUCGAAUGAUCAACUGUCCCAACAAUACUUAGUGCUAAUGCUGACUUAUUGGGGGAAAGGCUAUAUUCUUCAUAUAAAUCUUUGAGGGUGGUUUUGCUGUAGAUGCCAGCGGAAUGAUCGGCCGGACUUUGACUUUCCUAUAGGAGAAAAAUGAAUAUGAUUGAUUUACCAAUCACUUACUGAAAGCGAAAAUAGGGUUAUGAUAGCCAAUUCAUAGAAACACCCAUAAGCAUUAGCACAAGGGCGAACUCACCCCUCGUAGUUGAAUGAAAAGUCCCGAGCCCUCCCAGUGCUCUUAAUUGUAAGUAAGAACGAAACUACCAAGUGGGCAAAAUACAUAACUUGCCAGCGCAUUAGGUACAUUAGAGAAGAUAAGGCCAUAAUACAUAACGAUCUAGCCCACUUUUCAUAGAAACGAUCUAGCCUACUUUGUAAUAGAAUAUGUAAUAGACUGACUCUCUUAUUGGCUUUGAAACGAGGUGGAACAAAAGAAGUCCGGGUAUCUAGAAUUUGCAGUGCCAGUGAAAUCUAGUUUCUUCAAUUGAUUGUUCGUAUGCCGCUGCUUUCCCUAAGCUUGCCCUUACUUAUUAAGGCUGCUUGUCCGGCAGAGCCCUUAUAGUAAGUGGUGAAGUCGACGAUAUCAGAUCUUUUCUUAUGUACACUAGUAGAUGUUAAUAAUAUAGAAUGAAGUAGUAGAUGUUAAUAAUAUAGAAUGAAGUAGACCUAGACCUAGCAUCAAGGCCUGUACAAGUCCUUUCUGCGACCCUCAAUCUUAUAGGCGGAAAUGCAGUAUUUGGCCCCAAUGGGGGUAGUCAAUGUCAUAUUUGCUAUCAAACAGGCACAGAUGAGCGGCCCUGCCGCGACACCGAACACAGGACUUGUUCUUAACUGGAAAAGAAAGGAAUUGUUAUAAUAAGAGGAAGCGGCUCUGCCGCGCAACAUUAGUAGUUGCUUGGCGGUUGCUGCCGCGCAGCUUAAAACUCGCUGCCGCGACACCGAACACAGGACUUGUUUCUAACUACGCUAUAACUACUUAUUUGUCCUACUGCCGCACAACGGCUUGCGCCGUUGCCCAAUAGCUCCUGCCGCGGCACAUUAGUAGUGCCUUGGCCCGUGUCUUGGCGCGCCGUUGCUUGGCCCUACUAUUGUUACUGCCGCACAACGUCUUGCGCCGUUGCUUGCCGUCUUGGCGAUUCGAAAGAAUGCCCCGAUUACCCCUAUUCCUUGUUUUUGAGUGGAAUUACAAUUGACUAGCUAACCUGCCCUCUUGCACAGAGGCAAAGGGUGGUGUCAAAGAUAAGAGGUGGCAUUCAAGGGUAGUGUCAAAGAUAAGAGGUGGCAUUCAAACUUCAAUCGAGUUUACAACUUCUUAUUUAGGCGGUGAAGAAUCAAUUCCAUACUUUGAAGCGGGAAAGAAUGUGCUUUUUGCGCGCAACUCUAAAUAUAGAAUUCUUCGAUAUACCACCUCAGGCUAGGCACCCCAUGCUGGCUAGGAAAGGGAACCACAAAUCUUAUAGUUAACAAUUAGUUACUAACAGCAGCUGCAGACGUUGCACUAUUCAAGCACAGAGGCAGAGUUUCAAUGCUAGAGAUCAGACUCAGUUUCCUAAGAAUAAGAGGCUCCAGCGGAAGCAAGAUAAGUUGGUAACUCCACUUCUUGUCCCGAGGAAGGAAGAGAAUCUAGCUCUUUCAAAACUAGUAUAUGCUGGGCCAAGAGACUAUUCUAUCUCGAGUAGCUUGUCGGCUUGGUCUGACGUAGUAGCUUGGUGGACUCGAUAAUAACUCUUGUUUGCUUGUUCCUCCUAACAAAACUGGAAAGAAUGGAAUAGAACAUGCACGACAAUUAGAACAUGUAUGACAACUCGAAUAUGCACAACAACUCAUAAGGGAUAGUCACAAAGCAUCUGUAAGCUUGUUGAAUGGAAUGGAAUAUGCACGACAACUAAAUGGAGUAAGAAAACAUCACCCUGAACAACCUAUCUGGUAUCUAUAGACUAACCAUGAAAAUAAUAUAGUAACCUAGCAAAACACUAAUUACUGCUGACUGGUUACUUGAAACUUCAAGAAUGGAGCUCUAUACCAAUGAAACUUCAAGAAUGGAGCUCUCUUACUACAUAUAAAAAGAGAGUAAUUGCUUAGCAGAGAGUAAUUGCUUAGCCCACUACACGGAGCGGUUGGUUAUUAAGGCUUAUGGAAAGACAUUUGUGUUAUUGACAUUAGACUUAGUAGGCUUAAAUGAAAUAGAACUGCUGAACUCCCCAAUGAUCUAUAGGGCAAAGUAGAGACUUUCCAAUGUACUUAUUCUUUGACGUAGUUGAGCUCCAGCUUACGCUAAUUCUUUCACUGUCAAUUCCAAACAUCCGAGAAAAGGUGCCCAUAUAAAAGUGGUUGAUUCAAGGCUAGAGUAAGAUGCUGUUAGGUUCCUCAUGGAUAUUCGAUGUCGGGGAAGGGCAGAGGGAUUAAGACACUUAUAUAGAUUAGAUAGUGGUCCCUAUUGCUAUUUGUUAGGGUGCCCCGGUAAAUAAGCAUGUAUGAAGGGUUCCUCAAGCCUCAUAUGAAUAUAUAGUAGUGGUUGUUGAGCAUAUACCUUAUUUAUAUGAGUAUAUAGUAGUGGAGCAUAUAUGAGGGUGCCUCUAGCUAGAAAGUCAAGAAGAAAGUAUAUGUUGCUGCCGAUAUGAGUUCAACAAGUCAAAUCAGAAGUUAGAAGAGAAAGAUUAGAGGCACCGCAUCUCCCAAUGAAGACGCAUAGUGGGCAAGCACCCGUUAGAGCAGUAGCAGCGGAUCGGAGCAAUCUGUUGACUUUCUUUAUCUCUAUUGUAGACAGCUUUCUAAUGCGCCCCCUACGGGAACGAGUUACAUAAAAGGAGCACGAACGAAGGAGCGGAAAGCCACUCGAUUUACUAUUACUAAUAUAGCUCCGUACCACGAGGACCUCAAUGAGGAAUGGCGGGAUGACCGUUUUUCGCUUAGAAUCAAAAUGGAUGGAUUCUCUCCCCAACUCGAACUGGCUUUCUUUACAGGAGCAUUUUCCAAUAUGUAGAUGCCCUCUCCCUAUUUAUAUUAACCCUUUCUUUGGUAGUCACAGUUCUAGUUUUCGUUCUCGCACAAUAUCGUCUAAGCUUUAUUAAAGUGAGAGAGUUCGUUCAGCCCAGGUUCAGGUCCAUAAUACAGAAGAUGAAAAAACCACAAGAAUCUUGGAAGCCAAACGGAAAGGCAGAAGUUAUGAUGUAAGGAUAUGGAGGAUAUGUUAUAUAUAUGGGUAAGAAUCUAACAGACCAGAAGAUUAUGUCCAAUAUUGAAAAUCGCCAGAUAGUUAUAGUAGCUUGGAAGAGUGGAUUUCUCUCUGUCCCUAUACCCGAAUCGUACCUAUUCCAUUGGUUACCCGAAUCGUACCUAUUCCAUUGGUCAAGGGCCAGCUCCCCUUUCUCUUCCCCAAUUUCGCAGGGAAGGCAGGAUCGAAGGGGAGAAGAUAGAUAUGAGAGACCGUUAGGUCGAAGGGGAGAAGAUAUGAAUGAAACCCCGUUACGCUCAAAGGGGCAAAGAGAUGAGAUUCCGUUUUACCAAUCAAUAAAUGAAUGAAAGGCGGGGGGACCUAUGUAGUGGAGUCGAUAGUGGUCCCAUUAUUAGGAUUUUUCAGCAGGUGGGGGAAAUAGUUAGGCUUUCUGAACCUUUUUCUUGUGAUUUGUCAGGGGGAUGAAACAAAUACGUAGGGAUCCUUUCCUCACGGUAGAAAAUGGGAUGAGAUUCCCCGAAUGGAGACUUUCAAAGAUGUAUAUAACACAUCGGCCGGAUUUCUUAUGUCUAACCUUUGUUCUAUUGGUUUGGUGGCGACAGAUAUGAAAGACAUUUGACAUGCCGGAACCCGCUCAUCUUAAAUCAUUUAGGAAGAAAAGGAGCGGCUGGAGAAAAGGCUUUCCGCUCCUGUGGUUCGGAUGUUUUGUUUGUUUACGAAGCUGUUCGAAGAGAUUAGAUAAGGGAAGAAGGCAGGCCGCUUAUAGAUUAUCUGAUCGUACUUAUAAGGCUUUGUCUGAGCUGAGCAUUUGCAAAGAAAGGCAUAGUAGUAUAGAACAUAAUCAAUAUAUUCGAUAAUUCGAAAUAAGCUUUUGAAAACGCAGUGGGCAUUCGCAUUCUCUGAGGCCAUGCAGGGAUUGACACAGGAAAGGAAGGAUAGAGGGAUUGGAUUUACACUUACUUACUUUAGACUCGGGAAAGGAAGGAGACAGAUAGAUAGAAUUCCAGAUUACUUGGUCUUCGGGCCGAGACUGUUUUGGAGUUCAAUCCAUUCCUGAUACAACAUAUAGAAAAUCAUGCCCGUCCUGUUGAUUCUUGCCUUUAGACUUUCUCUUCUUAUCUCGUGUGAAGCACAGUGAAAGAACAAUACUCAUAUUUUUCAUGGCAAGGGAAUCCGCUCGUAAGAAAUAGUUAGAUGUGUGUGUGUGGUAUCUCUAUGCUCUUAUGUGUGUGUGUGGUAUCUCUAUGCUCUUAAAGGGUAGAAUGGAAAUCCCUCCUCUCGGAUGAGUCUGGUCGAAUUCACUGCCCUCUAGAGCUGUCCAUAGUUACGGGAAUAACUGAAUGAAUCGAUCGGGUCCCCACUCUCUUUCUAUUGCCAUGGCCACUCUCUUUCUAUGGAAAUUGGAAUGACAUUGAAUUCUAUCGAUCGUACUGGAUGGACGGACCGAUUUGGAUGGUGAAAUCGUCUACGAAUCCUUGUAGAGUGGUGAGUCUCAUUGACAUGGAUUAUAGACUGAGACAGGACACUUCAUAUUAGAUUGAUGCUUAGAGAUUGAUGCUUAGAGAAUUUGAUUGACCGAGAGUACUUCCAUCCAUGGCAUUCCAGAGCCAUGCCGCUUAUUGAACUCUGGAAUUCCCUAUGCUUCCAUCGAACCUACUCUUUAUCCUCGUAGCAGAGAAGCCCUACAAAGCUUGGCGGAAUAACAUCUCUUUGAACUCUCGUAACGAGAAAGAGCACAUUCGAAAUGCAAAUAGAAUAAGAAAGACUCCUCAAGGCCUUGACCACGACUUGCUUGCUCUUCAAUCGCAUUGAAUGAACUUAUCGUAACCAUCACCAUAGAAGAAAGGCCCUUUUUAGGGUUAUAACCUAUACGUAUCGGUCACAUUAACAUUUCGGGGUUAAGAACGAACACACACUUCUAAGCUUGACAGAGUUUCAGAAGGUAUAAGAGUGCACCGAGAUGUCAAAUCUUCCUAUUCAUUGAUUCUACUGGUACAAUCUAUAAUGUAGUAUAUGAAAACGCGGACGAUUGUCAGUACUUAAUUAAUGCAAUUCGAUCAUGUCCUGCCCAAUCUUUCUUUUGAAUGGAUUAUCCCCAUCUUUCUUUUGAAUGGAUUAUAUGGAUUGGGAAUGAAUGAGUACCACCUUUCUUUCCCGAGUUUCAAGCAUAGGAAAGCUGCUAGCUCGCUAUGCUCCUGCUGUCAUAUAGGGUUCUGUCUCUAAACCGCUUACCGAAUAACGCUCCUAAGACCAUCCUUUUCGCUGCGAAGUCAGAGUGCAGUCUUAGCAAGCCCAAGGAGAGAGAGUAGCCCUUUCGUUUGCUUUAUAAGACCCCAGGCUAUUUCCUUUGUUUAUGGCAGAGACCUUAAGGAGACCAGGAUUCUGUCUCUCUUAUACAACCAACUAAUAGAUGUCCAGGAGCCUUAGAAGAAAGAAAACAUAUAGAUGUCCCCAGGAGUCCUAGAAGAAAACAUAUAGAUGUCUAGGAGCCCUAGAAGAAUAGAAUAUUAGUUAGGAAAAGAACCCGACGCAACACAUCAAUGAACGAGCCCCCACUAAGGAAAGGUUAUUAAAGCCUAAUGAUUUCCAAUAAUGUCAUUAUUGUUACGCCGAACUGCCAGACUGAAAGCUUAGCUCUCUCUUCUGCACUUUUGCUACCACGUCUCGCCGGCUCUAGGAGGGACUGACUUCCUAUUCUUUUCCAAGAGAGAAGAGCAAGUGAAUCAGUAUCCGAUCAGGGUUUUGGCUCUAGUACUGUAAGUAUCCGAUCAGGGUUUUGGCUCAAGUACUGUCCUGUUUUCACUGGCUUACAUAUGUUAGUUUACCGGGGAAAGGAAAUAUGUGACCUAUACUGUAGGAUCUCGCUUCAGAUGAAUCCAGAGGGGUGGAUCUUCUAGUUCCGGUCAGCAAAGCUCGAUGCCGGCAUCACGAUCAAGAUUCUAUACCAUAGGCUCGCGGGUUAGGUUAGGGAGGGGCGUUAUACUUAUAUUGAUAUAUAGACUAGUUAGCGGGUUUAGUACUGAUAUAUGUGUUUGGGGAGACAGGCUCAUAGGCAUUAGUUGAAGGAUAAAAGAUGGGCAAUGCAAACUCAAAGCUAGUAUGGGAAGUAUCAUCAGCAGUAGUGGUGUCCAAUUCCUUACCAUAAGUAAAAGUAUUAGUUCCCAGCUAGGGUCUUAUCGGCUAUUAGUCAGGUCUUUGCAGUAGUAGCAGAACAAAGUUCUAGUGGUUUUUCAUGUGAGAUAGCAGUCUUGGUAUCAGUGAUUCUAUUCUAAUAAUAGGAGUUGAACCAAGGAGUAGAAGAAAGAAUCAUAGGUGAACUAAAGAUUUGAGAUCAGUAGCCGAAGACCUUAUUACUGACUUUGUUCUUUCUAUCAGUAGGUCCAUUCUAUAUCCAUUACUCUUCUAUCAGUAGGUCCAUUCUAUAUCCAUUACUCAGUGACUUAGAGCUAUGCCCGAUACCCAGCAUUCCUAGUUGUUUUAUGUAUUCCUAGUUAUUUUAUUAUACUGACAGCUCCUUCUUGAUUAUACUAGAUGCACGCACUGGAUCAUACCAUCAUACCCGUUCGGAUAUUGAUUCCAACUUUCAUACCUAUUCUACCGACUAGAUCUACCGACUAUAACUUUCACUCUGAUUUCUAUAUACAAACUAUAUCUUUCAUUGAGAAACCCAACAUACGAUACGGGAGAAACAAACACACAUGUCCUAGAGCUACCCCGAAACCAUUCUUCAAGCAAUAACAGAAAACUCAUUCUUCUAGCUUCAAGCAAUACAAUAAAACUAAUUCAUUCUUAUAGUAUCGCCUAUGAGCGACCGUGGAUGGACUAAUUCUUUGAUCGGUCGUUAACUCAGUCUCUGGCCCGGCGCACACCCCAAUUGAUUGACACAUUGAUUGACCUGACCUCUUGAAUCACAUGUGUUACGCAUCGUUAAUUUAGAUACCUUUUGAACCUUAUUUAGCUAAUGAAAUAGAAAGAAGUUGACUAUACACCAAAAACAUCAGAAUGAAUAGCUGGCACGACCUACCACCCGAACACUUAGUGAUGUUGAACGUUGUGUCGACGCUGGUGCUAUGACCUUUAUCCCUUGGGCACGUAGGUGGUAGCAUAGGUAGUAGCGUAGGUAGUAUCAUAGGUGGUAGCAUAGGUAGUAGCGUAGGUGGGCACGUGGGUUUGUUCCGGUUACAUUAUUUAUUGUGUAGUUAUCAUGUGCUUUAUCAUUAGAGAUCAGAAUCCAAUCAAUAAUAAGGAAUGGAGUGAGUAAGUAUAAAGAGUAGGUACCAUAUCGGAGGUAAUCAAAACCACCUAAUAAGUAGAGUAAUCAAAGGAAUCGAAUCAUUGAUAAGAAUAAAGAAACUAGUGCUAACAGGACUGCUACUAGUAUUUCUCAUAAUAGAGCUCCUGGCAAACGGGCUUACUAGUCAUUCUUUAAUCCUCAAAAAGGUACUCAUAGUUCUUUAGCUCCACCAUUGGUCUGACUUUCCUUGCUUUCGUUCUGACUACCCUUACUUUAACAACUGACUUUGAUUCUUAUUGUUCUAUUUUUGUCUCAUAGCUAUUGUUCUUUAAUCCUGAGCUUUUGAUCAGUCCUAAGAAAUCCCAUCCCUUCUUUCUCGGAUCAAGGGCUUUCCUACUUCUUCCAAACAAGAAUAAUAGUAAAGAGACAUUCUGACAGAAUUAUGUUGAAUCACAUCGGUUAACCAUCUUGACUCCAUAGCUGAAUGAGAAAGGGCAGCGGAACUCGCUCGAUAAAAAGGAAGGGAAUCAAGCAUUGGCUUGAUCGAAAAGACGGACAUAAGCACCGAGUCUUGCAGAUCUGCUGCUUCCUUACUCCUGGUUUUUGAUUGAUCUUUCUCCUUUGAAGAUUCCGCUUUCACUAAGAUAAUUGUUCCCUGUAAGAAAAGAAUUGAGAGAAGUUCCCACCAUUGUAUAGCAUAUAGAGUGCCUAUUAAUACAUCUAAGAAGAAUUAUAGGGAACAGAGAAUCAGAUGUUUUAGACUAUCUCAUACUAAAGAAGAAGCUCCAUCUUAUGCUAUAGGUCAAAGUUGGAUUGUCAAUUCUGUGACUCCUAGUAUGAGUGUCAAAAGGCUGUAAAGCAAGGAGGGCUUUCGAUUAUGGUACUAAUUCUGGUUUAUUGGCCUUUGUCUUUGGUAGGGCUGUCGAUGGUACUAAUUCUGGUUUAUUGGGGACCUUUGUCUUAAGGGUAAAGCAACGAAACAAGCAAACUAGCAACUAAACAAGCGGGAGCUCGAACUAGUGGAGCUAGUAGUUUCCACCGCUAAGUCCUUUAAGUCGGGAAGGCAUUCUAGGCAUAAAAGCAUUCUAUCACACACUUGAACUUUCGUUACUGAAAUUUGUUAGCUGGUAGUCGGGCAACGAAGAGAUAAGUUAGGCACGUGAAGAUUUGCUUAGCCCUAUUGUAAGGCAGGCUCCACUGAUUAGCUCGAUGAGCAGAAAAGCGGACUUACCACCAUGAGGUUUCUUUGAUGAAUGGCAUUUUCGAAUCAUAAGAUGAGAUAGAUUUCCACUCUUAGGCAACUCUCUAGAACCGAAAGAAGCUUUGCAGCAAUACAAUAGAAAGACAGAUUGAGUAUUCCCCCAGCCAGCUCUCAGGAAGCGAAUGAGCCAUUAGAUAGAUAUGGGGUACGAGGUAUAGUGGAUAGAUAGGGGUCAGGAUUCCACUAGCUUAGCCAGAAUUUCCCGUAGCUAAUUUCUCUAUAGGAUUUCGCCACUUUACCCAGAGCAUAUACUAAAGAAGAGAGGGGAAGCAACCAUUCACAAAAUAACAGUAUCGAUUCGAAGAAGCAUAUGGAGAGAAAGGCUACUUCUUCUUAUUCUUAUUAAUAAUACUAAUAGAUAAUCAAUCUUCUUAUUAAUAGCACGAAUAGAUGAUCAAUCGCUGCUCUUAGAAAGUAACUUGCUGCGACUUCUUCUUAUUCUGAUGAAAAUAGCACGAAUAGGUGAGAACCUAUGGGCUAGCGAAAGUAACUCACACACAAGAUUCUAUAGCUACUGGCCGGGAACAAAGAAUAGACGGACGGAAGGGGGCUUUAUGAUAUGCUUACGACGGGGUUGGAGAUAACUGGCACGAUUGGAAUUGGACGUAAUGGCAUUGAGUCGAAAAAGACUGGCUGGCUUUCUAGUGGGAGGUGGGACAGGAACCUUUACCAUCGACUUCUGCCACUCGACACUUUCUUUUUGAGUCUUCUCUAAAGUCCGUUCAGUUACCCGAGGGCGAGGGAGGAAGAGCAUAAGGUGGGAUUCUAACCUAUAUCCGAGAUCAGAUUGACAGUCCUAGCAUUGAUGACUAGAGGAGGUAAGUAGUAAACAUCGGGGAAGAGCAGCUGAGUCAAGAGAGAUUACCAUAGUGUUGACGGAACGGUCACUAUCAGGUGGGAGUUCAUUCAUCCUUUAACAAGUGCAUUAGCUAAGCUGCUAAGCGGAAGUCAAAUACCCGGCUCCUAUCCCCUACGGUAAGUAAUCAAUUCAUUUCUUACAUAUCAUCGCAAAUAACUAAGAGUUGGUUUUGCAAGCUCAGGUAAAUCAAGGGGUUAUCUAUUCGAUUAUUUUCUUAGCUUAUUCAAAGGCCCUUCGAGAGCUAGCAGGUUUGUUUAGAAAGAGAAUGGGUAUAGCUACAAACAACGACUCAUUCUAUACUGAAAUUAGCACUCAUUCUAUACUGUAAUUAGCAUUACCUCCUCUUUGCAAUAUACGCAGCUAUUUAUAUUGAAUACGGUCUUUUCUGCUGUUAGGUUUCAUGGUGGGUGCCUCUCCACAUUGGCAGGUAAAUAUAGCCAUAUGUUCUAAGGCUGUUAUACCACCCCGUCUCCAGAGAAUAAGGUAAGCUCCGCAAUCUUAUACCACCAUAGGAAAAGGGUGAUCCCUAUCAAUGUACUCUUUUUUUGAUUCCUAUAGAAUAGCCUGUUAACUCUCUGCAAUCUAGGGCAAUACAUCUCUUCGAUCUUGUUGGCAAAAUACUCCUGGUUAACUGGGAUUUUAGGCUUAGGUACUGGGCGUCCAUCACAGGGUUAUGAGGAAUCAAAUGUGGACCAACAUUCUGGCCAAAGUGUUGUCCCUGGAAAAGAGCUUGGGGUUGCUGAUUCCCAAAGACUGGUUGCUGUGCUAUGUUCUGAUAUUGUUGUGUAUUCGGUUGUGUAAAACUCAAACCCAUAUUUGCUUGCCCUUCUUCAACUAAUUAGGUUUCAGAUGACCAGGGACCAUAUGGCUUUCUGGGUUGGUUCUUACGGACCCCCACUAGUCUUCAUGAUUUGGCAUUCAUGGCUGAAACAAACCAUAGUUGGUAAGGAGUUUUGGCUUAUCCACCUUCUUUGUCUUUCAGUCCUUAAAGGGUCUUCCCAUACAUUCAAGAACAACGGAUUAUGCGAACGAAAUAGUAGCUAAUCCCCAUAGCAACUGAUAUUGCGCUUUAACGAACAUAAGUAGUAUUACACUAUGGUUUCUUUUCAUUUCUUUUAUGAAUGUGCUAAAUCCCCAACCAAGUCCGAAUUCUAUUGUAGCAGACCUCCUUGCUAGUUCGACCCCUCGUCUAACUCCACUAUGAGAAUGUACCGCGAUUGUUAUUGCGACAGAAAGGAGGGCCUUACCAUCUUAGGUUUCAAACAAGAGUGCUUCCAGCGGCAGUGAAGCUAAUACAAAGGCAUAUUUCCUGAAGUAGCAGAGAACUUGACUGUCUAGUUUUCAAAAAGCUGGCCAAGCCUUUGUCACUUUAUUACGUCAGGAGAAAGGGAGAUCCCAGAAGUAUGGGGCCGAUACACGAAGGGUCAAAUCAUAGAAAUAGCCGAUCUUAAGAGAAGAGGCGGAAGAAAAAUCACCCAUUAGAUCCAGGGAUCACGGAGUCCGCGCCCAUGCCGAAAGUGCACAUCUUCCUUCUGCCUCUCCAUGUAGGUGAAGUUGGAUUGGAUUUGACCGGGUCUGCCUUCCCCGAGGAAAAGUGGGAAGUUAUAAGGUAUUGCGAGCCAGUCCCGGAUUCCCUAACUCUGUCAUGCCUUCCGCUUUCCCUGGUAGGUAUAGUGGUAAGACGAGAAAGGCACUUAGACAAGAUGUAAGGGGAUUUGAUUGACUGUAUAAGUGGCUCGGAAGCAAGCUACCUGUUCUGUCCAUCUUACUAGCAUUGUCGGCUUAACGACUGCAUUCACUCACUCCUAAACAGAGUCAAACCUAAGGACAGCUAGAGAGAUCUCCUCUUCCACAGUCCCCGUCACUCUAACGAGUUGCCUUUCUUCGGCUGUAUUCUCUGAAUCAAUCCCAUUCUUGCGUUGAGCGGGCUAAAAGAGAGCAGAGCGGUUAUUCUUACAAGAGAGAGCACCUCCAUAAACUGUGCAUUCUUUUCUUUCAAGUCCCCAAGCAAGCUCCAAAUGUUCCUCUUCCUUCGACACCUUUCCAUGGAAACCGGGGAAUUGAUGAAAAAAUGGCUUAUUCGGAAUCAACCUAAGCCCGCUUUUCCGACUAGGUGAUCCAUUGGCGAAAAGAAGGCAUUUCUCGCUUCUGAUUCAUUUCAUUCGAAAAACGCACUUCACCAAAUUUCCUAAAGUAAGUGCCAAAGCUUAUUAAAAGAAUAGUGGGAUAGGUUUAGACUAGCACUCAAACAAGAAAAGCGGACGACUUAGAGGCUUUCAGCACCUUGCCUUUCGUAACCGGUGUGAGAGUUAGAAAAGAAAAGAAAGCUCACUUCACUUCAUGCGUAAUCCUGUUCUUGCAAUAGCCGGUAUUUCUGGUCCUGUAAGCCUUGCCAAAAGAGGUAGGCUAGCUAGAACCCUGAAAAGAAAGGGCCUUAUUCCGAAAGAAAAGGAAGAAUUGGUUGGUCCUAUGCCAAUCACCUUAUUAAGUUAGUGAAAGCCAAUCCGACUGCCACUUAAACCUUACACUGAUAGGAAGCAUAGAUAGGCAGGUUUUUCUUCGGAUGACCUCCACACGGCAAUUAGAACUUAACAAAUGGCUACAUAGAUAGAAGAAAUCCAAUCAGUCUCCGCUUUUCGGUAUGCCGAUAGUAGGAGUGGAAUAGCCAAAAGUCAAUAAAUAAUGGAAGAUUGGGAGUUUAGGCCUUAGAGUUCGGGGUGGAAGAGCGAAAGUAGGAAUUCCAUAUAGUUGCGCGGAAGCCUUAGAAUUGGGAUUGGCAUACCUACUUAGUGGAAGAAGGGAGAAUCUGUUAGAUCGGGAGUGAGUUUCAGAAUAGGAAUUAGGAGAGGUGUCUUGAAGCUAACCCUGCCCUAGGCCCUAGGAGUAUUAGGAGAGGUGUCUUGAAGCUAACCCUGCCCUAGGCCCUAGGAGUCUAGUCCUUAUAAGGGAAUUCUCGGAUUUAGAUUCCGGAAAGGAAGGCUCUACUAACUCAAAAGCUAGAACCAAACAAAGCAAUUGAAGAGUUAGAAAGCGACUAGUCAGAAUGGAAAGCAAAGAGCACCAGAACGAAAUAGUAUCUAAUAAGAACAAAAGAAGGAAGUGGAGUUUUGAAGUUAACAAGUAGGGCGUGGACUGCCCAGUGCAAUUAUCUCUUUUGAGUGGAAGUCGUUAGCUUCACAUCCUUAGUAUCUAUAUUGCUUUACUACUUGAUAAGUAUGACUUUACUGCUUAUCAGCCUUACUAUACUCACUUGGAUUCUGACUCGCUAGUUAUUACAAUAGAUGUUUUCACGGACUCAAUCGAAGUGUAGAAGCCUACAUCCUAUAAGAUCCUAUAAGCAAGGGUUCCAUUAGCAAGUAAGAUAGUCAGAAUGCCAGGAACAAAUACCAGAAUCGAAGUUAAGGAGAUGUAGGAUCAAACCACUAAGAAAUAGAAUCGAAAUCUCAUAUAAGAGAACCAAUUCUCAUAUCAAUCAGUUCAUUCUUUUCCUGCUAGAUUCUCUUUCUUUAUUUGGAGAGUAAGGAUCUAGAGUAGGAUGGAUCAUAACCAGGAUCCGGAGCUGGUGGAAAUAAUGUUUCUGUUCGAAAGUGAAGUUCUGGGGCGGAAUUGCCUGUUCCAGUUCCAGUGGAAGAGAAGUAUCCGACUAGUAACUACAACAAACAGCUUAUGCACUUGCGGAUUCCCUUUCUUUUUCAAUAGGAUAAGGAACUGGGCGGAACUGAAAUAGAAUGAACUGGCACUGCUGAUUCUUAACCAACAACACUAGAACCUGAUACGGAAGCUAAAGAAGGCAAUAAUUCCGGUUUUAGGUUAAGGGCAAUAAUGUACGUAGUUAGUGAUAGCCAUGAGCAAGUGUUUGAGGGUAGUCAAGUCAGUAGUAAAGUGUUUGAGGUGAAGGCGUUCAAGCCCUAUUUAUUGUCGUUUAAGUCACCAAGCAACUACGGUGUACUCCAUUCUCCUCGGUCAUAGGAAUAUGACCCUUUUUCUACUAAACUUUCACCACUUUUGAUACUAAUACUUUAACGAUUUGGACUGUGUCAAGUCAACCAGUGAAUUGAGAACUUAUGCGCCGAGUCAAACAUUCAUUUCCAUUGACCUAGAACCACCAUAAGUGCUUUAGUAAUUAACUGACGCCCCAGAGUCUUGUUGGGCCGAGUCAACUAUAGUUUUAGGGGCUCCACAAAAGGAGGGGUUCCCCGAGUCUUUCAUUGGGCUCUUUACUUUUACUCUUCCCAACAUUCCAACUUUCCUAGAUACUAAUUCCUUAGUUUUUAGAAUCCGGAAAUACUUCCUCCUGCAAUCAAUCUGAAACCUAAUCUCUCUUGUGAUGAUGUGUUUUUGUUGAGAGGUCUGUUCAGAGCUUGAAUCAGUGUUCUCAUUCUGCUGUAACCACUUACUUGGUUCCCAAUUCUUAGCAAUGGAGUAAGUGAUCAUCAUUCCGAUGGUGUUUUCAAAGCCCUCAAUAUAUGUGUUAGUAUGGGCCAAGCAGCAACCAAGGAGUUUCUCUUUUGGUCACUCCCUUUUUCUUGAGUGCUCUGACAGAGAUUCCACCACUCAUCAUUCUGCGUAGAUUGGUUUAUCAUCAAGAAUCCCUAAGGCAAACCGGUCUCCAAGCAGGAUAUGAUAUCUGUGCAUAUUCCUCAUUAUACAUGAUUUGGAUGUUCUUUGCCCUUUGCCAGUGGAUCUUUUUCUUCAGUAGCCUUCUUAGAAUGCAUCCGUAUAAGGUAGCUACCACCCUUUCCUCAACUAAGUUCUUGAUGGAGCUGACAAACUUCAAUCUUAGAAACCUUUCGUGGAAGUUUCAGAAAUGCCUAAUACUCUAAGGGGGCAUAUUGGUGAUGGCUAUAAUGGGAACAUUCCGAUUUUGGAAGUUGGAAGCACUCCUUUCAUCUUUUGAGAAAGUUCUCUUCCCUCAUGUUGAUGCUCCUUGUCUCUUUUAAGAUGGCUUUAAGAGCGUUAAAGUUCCUAACGAGAGUAGCCUCCAAUUCCGGAUCUUCUACUACUUGCUCCCACUCAUUUAGGUUCUUCAUUUAGUUUAAUAACAUCAAUUCUCCGGCUCCUCUUAUGUUGUUUCUGAGCUUUCAUGGUUUCCUUAACGUGUUGAACUGAGUGCUUCCCCCUAAUGACUGGAUUAGUAUAUUCUUUGAGUGCUUACUUGCACACGGAAGCCCAAGCUCUGUGAAAGGAAAGGCCAAAUAGAAUUGUGCUCCAAAAUGAUGAAGUCUCAGGGGAAAGCCUUUCUUAGAAUAGGAGGGUUAGCUUCUUCUUUGCGCUCCCUCUUCAACGAGGAUUCCAACAUAGAAAUGAUGCCCUUGAUCUCCUCCAUGUUUUUCUCUUGCUACAAUGAUGGUAGUACACGUCAUAACUUUGCGAAUCCUCUCCAACGAUCUAAUUCUUAUCUAGACUAUUGAUUUCGGGAGUUUAGAGUUGACCAAUCGUGAAAGUGGAGUAUAUGAAUUGUCACAUUCCUACCUAGGCUUAUAUGCGAUGUACUACUAAUUCCGUAUUUGAGUUUCUGAAGCAUCAGAAUGAUAAUGUCCAGGCGUAUACGAGUUCUGUUGUUGGCUCUAAGUCGACAUCAACGAGAAUCUGAGUUCUGGUUUUGUCAACUUGCUGGAAAAGAUGCUGUUAGGUAAAAAACUGCAAUUCCAGUUUGCGAGGCGAGAGAUUCACUGAAUUCUGGACUUCGGCUUGCAGUGUGUGUCUUUACCCAAUCUAUAUCAUGUGCUUUCAAUGAAAGAUUCAAAUAAGUGUCUUUUACUUGCGCAUUAGGAGCUCUGUGCUCUCAAGAUUCCUGUCCUGUACUCUUUGACUCGGCCUCUGCGCUUGAAAGAUGGAAUUCAUUAUUAGUUGACUGCCCUACAGCGGGGUUUAGAGUUAAGUCUCUUUGGGAGGAUUCUUUUCCUGCAAUUACAUCCAGCCUUCCAGCUUAUGCUUCCGCGAUAGAAUCAAUUCCUAUCAAUAUUAGCUCGAGAUGGAUUCAAUAAUAAAUGGAAAUUAAUGAGUUGCUUGUUCCGUUGCUUGGCCCGGUCUUCUAGGCCUUGCAACCUUGUCUUUGUCCUUUUGGUUCUUGGGGAUCCCACUGAGAGCUUCUCUUUAUUUCUCCUGAAAAUACUUGAGUGCCUCUUCAAAGCUCCUUUUGUUAAUUUGUCAAAAAACCAGUGGGCUGUGAGGGCAUUUAAUGCUUCGUCUUUCUUUGAUAGAGUGGGGAUUUCUCUUCCCAUCUCCCUUAGGACCCAUGGCUUCGUGCCAAGUGUAAUAGGGGCCCCGGAUUCGAAUACUCUUCUUUCUUUCUUUUUGAGAUCUUAACACUGUUUUUUGGCUAAUGGCUUCUUGUGGCAAGUGGGUCUCUCUUUUCUUUCUGAAAGUAGAAGUACCAAGACAAACGCACUUAGAAAAUGGGGCUGCAGGGUUAAACAACCCGAACCGCAGGCUUGUCAUUAGGUAUGCAAAUAUGGAUAUCAAUGACUAAAGUCUCUUCCCACAAAACGAAAGCGCUAGACAGCUGGUCCUUUACUUUAAGGCUACUGUCCCUGCUAACCCUUCUCGCCAAGGAAAGAAGUCCAAUAGCAUCACGCACUUAUUCCUUUUGUUCCCAGCUACCUCUGAGAGUGGUCACGAGCUUAUUGGAAUCAGAGCUUUUUCAAGCAUUCCCAUAGUACCGAAGCCAAUCCAUCUCUGUGAACGAAUGCUACUACUCCUAACGGUUCGAGAUCCAAUUCCUUAAGGAGAAAAGGCGAGAACAGCUACGACUAGUUCUCAGAGCCAUACCACAAAGCCGGGGUCUACGACUAGCACCAAGAAAUAAGGCAACGGUGCCUAGGUAAAGGUCGGAUGGAGAGAGUGGCUCAUCCAUCUUUUCGUCUUUUAGACAAGUAUAGUAGGGAAAAUCGCUUUACUGCCUAACAGCUCCUGCCGCUAUUAAUAAGGACUCGGUAAUAACUUGUUCCAACUGGGCAUUCGAUUUCUGACCUUGCCUACCGCCGACGAAGAUUAGUAUACGCUUGUCUGGGGCCUAAUAGCUUGGCUCUAUGCUUUUGUCUACUACGCUUCUAGCUCCCUGCUAGCUUUACGAAAGCAUCAAUUUACCCGUCUUUCUUUUAGCUGAGAAAUAGGCACUUUACCUGUCGUUAGCUGAUAAAUAGCACAUAUACAAACCUGAAACUAUCUUAACUUGCAGGCUUUCGGAGUGAAUACCUUGUCGACAAGAAAGAGCAGAAUCCGUGGAAAUAGCCGGAUAAGGAGGAGAUGUGUUCCCUUAGAGCUAACAGUAUGGGGAGUUUCUCCCCGAGAGUAAGGAGUUUUGUGUUGAGAGUAAGGAGUUGGGUUUAUAGAUACGGCAGCACCACUCGCUCACACAGCAGAUUCUCUCUCUUAUCUUAAAAGGUGUAAGUGAGUUGUCCGAGUUUAGACGCUAACAGAGCUCAAUAGUCGUUGCUUGUUUGUUCUGCUGACUCGUUACUUGUUGCAGUGUUGGUUACUAAAUUACAGAAUAUAUAUUUGUGCCCCCUCUUCUAUUUCUAGUUUCGAGUGAGGUGACUCGCUUAUAUAAUAUGUGAUCUUACAACUUUCAGAGAGAUAUGCUUUAUUAGAAUGAAUCAUUUCUUCAUAGCCGGUUCCAGACCCUAUUUAUUCUAUCACUUACAGCAUGCACACAGACCGAAUGAAAAGGACUUGACUCGAUCUCAGAGUUGAGAACGGAUUUCUACUUAGCGACGCCUUACUCAAUCCCGCUCCUAGUGCUUUUUCCGGCUCUUUCUGUGUCUUAUUACUAAUCAAAUAGCUUCACUUAGCUUCCCCGAUCCCACUCUUUCCACUAGUCUUUCUAAAUGUUGUGGAUAGCUGCCAUUCUCCUGUGUUUUCUUCCGUAGUGCAUUAGCGAGUUCUUUCUUAUUUCAUUAGUCAAGCAAGAAACCAUGACCAUAAAACGACUUAUCGCGGGAAACACCCAACGGGGCGCGGCGCUAACGCGAGUGACUUCACUAUAAGUGCUAACGGGAGUCUUUUUAAGCAAUGUAGAAAGCAAAAAGGUUUUGUGUUGGAAGCGCUUUCAGAUUGAUAGUCCUUUGGCUCCCCAAGAGGAAAGAAUACCUACUGCUCCUAUUUCUUUUAGGACUCAUUGAAAUUAGUAAUAUGUGAUUUUUGAGGGAUUCGUGGAAUUGUCGUUUUUUAAUAGCGUUGAAAAGAGCCGAUGAGCCGCAAGUGAAACGGGUAGCUUUCUCUUAUAGUCUAUUUUCUCUGGACUUUAUUCAGCUUAAAGGGAUAGGGUUCAUGGGUUGAUUCUCAAGGGAUAGAAAGGGUUUUUCAUGGGUUGAUUCAGGGGACAAAGGCAAGUAUUAAUGGGUGGAUUCAGAGGACAAGGGAAAAGGUUCAUGGGUUGAUUCAGAGGAUAUCUGUUUCUCAGGAGAGCUUCUUCUUUAUCUUUUCUCUUGUGAUCUUUCAAGUCGGUCUUCUGAGUUGGGGUGGACCGCAAGUCAAUGGUGGUAGGAAGUGGAGAUUGUAUGGGCCUUAAACUCAAGCCCAAACCGAAAGCGAUGCGCUCAAAUGAAUCUGGCCUUUCUUUCCUUUUGUCUUGAAAGCUAUAUCCUCCCCGGUGACUUGUUCAACCCACUAACGGCACUUUGGGCGGGCACUUAUGAAAGGCACAGAAAUACCAACCAAAUCAAAGGUAGGAUUCCAGCAUUAAGGGCACAGAAAUACCAAUAUAAAUCAAAGGUAGGAUUCCAGCAUUGAAUAUAUUGUCAGAAAAGAGAAAGAGUCUAUCCUUCUUUCUCCCAAAGACCAAAGCAUAUUGUGGAGCCCUCGGGUCAUCGGAAAUGUUUUAUGCUUCUUUGGCGACCGUGAGAUCACUUUUCUCAGAUCGACUUGCUUUAUAAUGGAAUACAAAUCAAUUAUAGGGAUACUGAAGCGCCUUAUAGGCUUAUAAGCAGCUUUCUAAGUCUGAGUUGCUUGUUGAGUGUUUAUCCUUUCCUUCUCGAUUCAGACAAUACACUGAUUUGUUUACGAAAGGGUUUCAGGGCAAAUACGGAACGAUCGAGCACGCGCCGAUGACUCAUUAUGAAGAAAAGAAUAAUGGAAGCUUUCUAUCCCCGAAACUCACCCACGGCACACUUUAGCCCAUUCGCUUCGCCCGCGGGAAGGCUACAAAGUAGGAAGAGUCCUCUUGAGAGUCUGGUCUUGUAUAAGUUUGGACAUCCCCUUGCAACAUUCGCUCAAUUAGCCAUUUCAUUGGUAUAUUCCCCCGCUAGAAAGAUCGCCUGCAUCAAAGCAUUCUUUUUGGAUUGGAAACUCUUCACAGGAUAGCAUAGUUAGAAUGACAGAUUAGUUGAUUGAUGUCAAAUGUAAAAAGGAGAACCCCGCGCCCUUUCCUGACCACGAUUGGAGAUUCCGUCCAGACAUUUCACCUGCUCACUAGCGCCUUCUCCGACAGAUUCAACACCUCUGCUCUCCCACUCGCUAUCUUAUUCGAUUUUGGAUACGAAAUUCUCCCGAGAAAGAGCCCCCUCCCUUCUGCGGAUUCACUUGCUCAAGCAAGGGCAUUCUGUUCUUCACAUGUUUGCGCACAUAAAGGAACUAUAACAACUCAUACGUCAGCGCAACAUUAGGGAGCUAAAGAAGAUAGGAGUUAUAUAUAUAGGAAUUAGGUAAUCCGGGUUCAUUCCAUGUGUUGUGGCAAGUCAAGUUUGGGGGAGUUGGAGCAAGGGUAGUAAACAAUACUAGCAUGAAAGGCUGGCGAACUCAAUUCAACAGGAAGGAGCUCCGUAAGCAGAAAAGAAAACAGGACUCAUUGUCCCGCUGACUCCACUGGGCAAGAUCGUAUUGUUAUCUUUGCUACCGCUCAGUGUAGUGGGCUAUCCGAACUAUCGAAAACAGGACUUAUAGCACAGAGACAGAGGCACAGUUUGAUUAUAGGACAGAGUGUCAGAAGCCAGAUCUUUAGGUGUGUUCAGUGUCUUUACUUUACUUGGAUCUAUACCUUGUGCUCGGUUUAGUUCAGGGAAAAAGAAAAUAGUACUCUGCCUUUGAAGCGUGGUAUACAUUAUAUGAGUUUGAGUUAGCCGUUGCAGCUUGUCCCGCUUCCGCUCCUUGUUGUUUCGUGGAGUUAUUGGCAGUUGGGGGCCAUUAUCAACAUAAUCAAGGUCAACUUAUCGUCCUGCUGCGACGCCUUGUUCAACUGAUUGUCCUGCUGGAGUAGAGUAAGUAGGCAACAAUACUUAAGUACUUGAGUCUAAGGUUCGGUUAGGAAGCAAUGGAGUGGUUAGGUUCCAAACAAAAAGAACAUGCGAGCGAGAUAGAUUCAAUAAGUCCGUCCGUUUUGAACCGAAGGGGAAGCAGUUGCGCUUAUUGUUGUUGCAGGGUCCUGUAGAGUGAGUCUUGCUAUUCUAUAUGCCUGGCCAUACUUAUUAGUUGCGCUCAAAGUUAAGUAUCAAGUUUUGUAGCCAGUAGAUAUCAUAUUGCAAAGUAGAUAUCAUAUUGCAAAGUCAGGGAGGGGGCCUAUGCCUCUGUCCUGUAAGUUUAGGGUUAAGUUACAUCAAUUCAAAAAAGCACACAAAUAAACAAGCCUUAAAAGGAAGCAAUGCGGGUUGGUUGUCUUUUCCAUUCCUACUUUAUUAUAUGACCAUCCUGUUAUUCAAUUGAUGUUUGAGUUUACUACUUUCUAUUUUCAAGUUGCUCAAAAAAAGAUGAUAAAUGAAUGAUUGAGACAGGACAAGUUCAGGCCAGGCCCAAUUGAAUAAGUAGUCUCCCCCCGAGUUAUUAGACUGAAUCCGCAAUUCGAGUGUCGGUUGCUAACUUAUAUUACGGUUGCUUGUGUUCAUAAGUGUUCAAGGGGAGUUCCAGAAGCCGAAUCGAAGUUCUAAACUGGAAAUUCUGUAUUUGGUUACUUCGGAUCAAGACUAAGUGCUAAGGCGUGAGUUCAAUCUUCAUUACUCAAAGAUUUUACAGCAUUGCAAUCCGAUCUUCUGCGAUAGAUUCCAUUCAUGUUUAAGUAUAGGUAAGUUAUGAAAGUGGUUAAGUAGUUCAGUCGGAAGUCGAAGUAAAAGCCCGCUCACUAACGGGAGCUGCAAGUGUUGAGUCUUGAGUGUGUUUUGAAGCAAGUGAUAGAGUUCCUGAUAGUAUAGUUCAAGUUCGAAAGUUGUCUACGAGAGAUAUAGGUUCAAGUGCUUCCGAUGUUCCAAAGCUUGCUGUUGCUGAUGGGAAUGUAGACCAAAACUCAGGUAAAAGGAAGCUAUUUUCGAAUGCAAGUAAGGGUAAGGCUGGAAAGAUUCUUUGUAUUACUCUAAGGUCUAACAAACAACUCAGAUUAAAGCUAAGGUCUAUGUUAUACGGCAAAAUGAAUGAGUUGGCAAAGGCAAAGCAAGGAAUAGAUACGUUAUAAUGAGUUAUUCCGGUUUCUGUUUCUUGGUUCCAUUUGUAUUUCCCUAUAAUAGGAGUUUCCCGCAGACUCUCUAUCAAUCUGGGUUCAAAGCUCUUCUUAUUUGAGUUGGGCUAUAAAAUGAGGGCAAUAAGGAUUUCCCUUGUAUACGAGUUGGGGCAAACAAGCAGACAAGAUUUCAUGGAGUGGAGGCUUUCUCUUGUAUUCUAUUAGCAAGCAGACGUAAGAGCGGAUGUGCUCUCUGUUCUUGAAUUUGCUGUAGUCCGCUUUACCUUAACUGAGAUGGUACUAGGCAAGGUGAAGGAUUUCAGGCCCCGCCAGUAGGUCUAGACCCGUGAAUAUGCUGAUGCCUAUAUAGGCCCUUUCUUUAAUAAAGUAAUUGUGUGCUGUCAAAGAGGUAUGUACUUAUUAGUUUGGAAGAGUAAUAAAGUAUUAGCAAGAAACCUGCUAUCAAUCUAUCUAAGGGUUUUAGGUGCACUGGUUGUUCUUUGCAGAUCUAUGUGGAUGAGUGUUAGGAAGCAGCUGGGAUUUGUCUUGUACCUAGAGGGCAUGAGGAGCCACCUACUAGUGCAUUAAAGUAGUCAUUUCCUCAUAUAAACAAGUGUAGCGAAGUCAAGGGUAAGGCAAAGGCUUUCAGCACCUUCUUUCUUCUUGGAAAAGGGUGGUCUACGAUCAGUAUAAGAAACAACCGGUGGGGCUCCUGCCGCCGCUAAAUCAUAAAUUGUAAUAAGAAAGGAAAGAUAAGGUACAAAAGUGGGGAAAAGUAGGAAGAUUAAGCGGAUAUAAUAAAUCAAAAAGCUGGAUAGGUGUUCUCGAGACUAUGAAGCCCUAAAGGGUGACGGAGAUCCCGAUGCCUCUGUAGGACUAGCCGAGGGUGUCAUUGGUAUAGGAGAGAGGUUUCCAUGUAUAGAGUGCGCAAGUCAAGCCCGUUGAAAUAGCAGCUAUGCCCCUUGGUCCCGAGCGUUUGAACUAAUGCGAGUCUCUUGAGCGGAGCUCUUUAUGUCAGCUAGUCUAGAUCGAUUCCUAACCUAAUAAGAUUGGCAAAUCUUUGUUUGUUAAGACUGAAUGAAAGACUAAGCCGAAAUGCAAUAAAGAAAGAUCUCAUCACUGCACUUGCUUUCCCUAAACUAUCUCUCCUUAGAAGUAGGGCGAGCCAAAAAGAAGGAAUUCUCUAAUCCGAUAGCCUUACAACAAACAAGCUUGCUUAACGCACUAGCUUUGAGUUCCGACAAAAAAGCUCUUCCAAAGACAAAGCGCAUCGCUCUCAUGCUCGGUAAGUAAAGUCAGUUAUUCGCCUUACUCGUGCAAGUAAACUACCUUUUUAGUACAACCUUUUCUUCGACCAUCCAAUAUCGAAGUUAGUUAGUUAUCGAUGGAUCAUUGAGAACUAGUCUCUAAGUUUGGAGAUGCAUAGGUUCAAGCAUGCAGUCCCAUCUAUUGGUCCAGAGCCUGUUGACGUUAUAGAAUCAUACCAAUCCUAAGUAGCAAGUAUACAAGUGAGCAGUUUCAGAGUUCGAGAUGAGUUAGUAAGAAAGAGAAAAGGGAGCUUAAAGCCUUAGUUUCAAGCAUAGGUCUUGUUGGUAUGGGUUAGAGUCUCUUACUAUUGUGAGUUGGCGAUUCAUAAAGUGUAGUUUCUUUGGGUCCUUGCUUGUUCGUUGGGCAAAAGGGUGAACCGGUGAGCUGUUAGGGCAGCCUAGCUCCUACUGGUAUGGAAGGUAGAGGAGCAGAAGCAACCAACAGAGCAUCUUUUCAACCAGCUAACUUAGCCCUGCCAAUAGCGAGGUCAGGUCUAUCUGGUGUGUAUUCCUCUGGUGGACUGCAAAUAAGGAUUGGCAUCUGGUGGACUUAAGCAAUGAGGUUUCAACAAACAGUAAGGUUCCACAGAGGUUUCAACAAACAGUAAGGUUCCACACUUAUAGCAUAUAUUCCACACUUAUAGCAUAUGCUGGAUAGAAAGAAUUCUUUAGUGAAGCCCGAGUUAUCCGUUUCAUUUCUUUCGCCAAAGUGAGUGAGUUGAGAGAACAAGCAAAGUUGCAACGCGCUAAGAGAGUGGAGUACAUUAGUCUAGGGAUAGUAGCGUAGUCUAGGUAUAGUAGCGGUGGCCUAGCUAAGUGAUGAAAGUGAGAAAUUAGGUAUUGGCAUAAGAAAGUGAGAAAUGAGGUAUUGUCCUAAGAAUAAGAAAUGAAGUGGAGCGUUUACUGCACACAUGCCCUACUUAGUUGUUCCAGAAGUUUCCUACUUAGUUGUUCCAGAAGUUUCCUACUUAGUUGCUCAAGAAGUUUAGAGUAUCUCAGGUAAGGUAUAUUGUUUGUGGCAUGACAACUCUAUUAGUGGCGAAUAGCUUCAUCGGAAAGGACUGGCCGCCUCCUAACCUUGUAGUGUGGGAAUCUCAAUUACUCUAUGUUAUGAGAAUACACUAGUUCACUGAAUCACUGAUGUCGGAUUGAAUGAGGAUGUCUCGAGUUGGCCAGCUAACUACAGCAUCAAAGAAUACUCAUGCUACGUCGAUGCUCAGGUUGGCUCCAUGCGCUUGCUUCCCCUAAACUAGGAUGUGCUUCCUCUCUAGUCAGUCACUUUUCAAUAAGUGCAAAAUAAGCUUUCAUAUCAUCUUGUGUGGAAUCAUUAUAAUGGAAAAGAAAAGCAGAAGGGAUCCAAGAAGUAGAUCUCGUAUAAAGGAAUGGCCAUUGAGACCCAAACACACCUUUGAUCAGAUAAUGCCAAUCGACCGAGCAACGCUCCGAAGGCUGCUUUAGCUAAUACCGAAAGAGGCUAGAGCCAGAGCCUUAAAGUGGCUGUUCUAGUCCGAAAGGUCAAACUCUAUGUGAUUGGCUACGCUUGUUCAUUUCCCCCCUACCCCUGGAUUUCGGUCGCUUCCAAUUGUCGGGUAAUUCAAAGCUAUUCAAAGCAUCUCGAAGGAAAGAAAGGUGCUAAGAGCGUUAUCGAAGGGCCAAGCAACUACUAAUGUAUAGCUAAAGGGCUGCCCUCCUUUGAGUCAAUUAAGAUACCAUAACACUUUUUGCCCUAAUUUUCCUAAUGAAAUAGAAGGAAGUUUACUAUAUAAUAAUUCCAUAAGUAACAUUUUGACAAUGGAAUAGCUACCUAUGAAUGAAUGAUGUACCUUAUAUUGUGGCAUGGUCCGCUUACUGAAUGAGUUAUGUUAUACCGUAAUAAUCCCCAGGGGCAAUUCACCUUUUAUGCAUUAUCGAUGGUGACCGAAGACUGAUCCCCUCCGCACAGAUCAAAGAAUUUAUGGUGAUAGGACAAGAACGAGUGGUGAAUGAUUGCUCGCUCACAGAAUGGUUGGUUCUACUUGAAGAGUGAGUUAUUUUGUUGAAAGAGUUAGUCCCUGGUCGAUGUCUGAUUGACCCCGUUGACUGAGUGAAUUACCGCUCUAAGACUGAUGCGCGAACGAACGAACAAUUAACGAGGUAUACCCGAAUGUGCGAUGACCAACAGAACCACACCAUCCACUGACUGACUUAUCUAUUAGAAAUCUGAUGUCGGGUUCAUAGGCUUAUACCAAUCAGUGCAAUUGCGUACAAGUCCACCACUAAGCUCAUUCUUCUAAUACUUAGUUCAAUCUAAAUCCUGUGGUUUCGAUAAAGGCUAUUGAUUGACAAACCCUGUAUGGCAUAGUGCACCUACUAAUAAGAUCAGAAUAGUGGGGUAUGAUGUAGUGCAUCCAGUAUGUAACUCAGCAAUAGAAGAAUCACCAAGUAACUGGACAAGUAAGCAGUGUUGUAUCAAGGAAAGCGUAGUAAGGCCGAUAAGCAUUAAAGUAAGGCAGGGCAGCUUUGAUGUCAGUAAGGGAAGUAUUUGUUUUGAGUUGAGUUCACUGAGGCUAAUUACGGGUACAAUGGUGAAAUCUUGUUACCCAGAUAGUCAUUCCUUAUCAUAAGAUCAAAUAGUCAGCAGCCUCAUUCCCUAUUUAAGGAUAUAGAGUCUUAGAAGCACUAGUUUGAUCCUAAGCUAUGAGUUAAAGUACGAGAAGCCCUAGCUCGAUUCUUUAUUCGUAGCAUUUCUAUUCUUGUUGACAUCAGUAGAAGUUUCAAAGCCAGGAUCAGUGUCCAUAGUUAUAGGAUGAGAGACAGGAAAGUAAGCCUCUCAGGCAGUAGUAAAAGAAGAAGACAAAGUAAAGUCAGAUUAAAAGCAAGGUAAUAUAUAUACGGAUAUGUGUAGCUGAGUAAGCCUAAAG
rnacentral:lncRNA from 1 species